UACGAAGGGGGCUAGCGUUGUUCGGAAUUACUGGGCGUAAAGCGCGCGCAGGCGGCUUCUCAAGUCAGGGGUGAAAGCCCAGAGCUCAACUCUGGAAUUGCCUUUGAGACUGAGUGGCAUGAGUACGAGAGAGGUGAGUGGAAUUCCCAGUGUAGAGGUGAAAUUCGUAGAUAUUGGGAAGAACACCGGUGGCGAAGGCGGCUCACUGGCUCGUAACUGACGCUCAUGCACGACAGCGUGGGGAUCAAACAGG
rnacentral:rRNA from 1 species